GACUGUGCCCAAAAUACUUAAUUGGUUCAGAAUGCAAUUUGUACCCUUUGUUAACAGUGUUUGCUAGAGGGAAUAUUUGACAUAAUUUCUGUGCUUUCCAGGCUGACUUUCAGUUCAUCUACAAAGCAAGUUGGAUCCUAGAAAUAUGCGUUGUCUACCUAUAUGAUACUGAGGUAGUUGAAAGAGCCUGAAAGAUAGACCUAGAAAUUCCCUUGGUUGAAUAGUGAAAAUAUGUUACCAUGAUGUUGUUGGUGAAGGCCUCACUACUGUGGAACUCAAUUCCCAGCUGCUGCUUUCAUCAGAAUCUGAAUCUGCUUUCCAGUUACGCCGCUCCAACUGUGGAUUUUGUUCGUGCAAGCAGCCAGAGACUCCAGAGACUUCUAGUUAAUCCCCUUCACCAUGACAAGACACCCAGAAUAUGCAGUGUCCCGGAUGCUAUUUAGAAAAAUUCACAGGCAGAACUCACUGGGGAUGGCAACCCGCCCACAGUGCAGUGAUGAGGAGCAGAGGAGUGCACUGAAACUAUUCUCCCCCCUUUUUUUUUUUUACAUUUGUAUAUAUGUUUUAUAUUGUUAAGUUAAGCUUUUGA